CCACUCAACAAUAGACCUUCCACUAAACUUCAAAUAAAUAUAACAUGUACGAAAACCAUUAAAACUAAUCCAAGCUAGUUUGAAACAGAUCUAAACACAUGAUGCUCGGGCAAUAGACCAAAUGCCUUACAUAUCUGCUAGUAAAUAAAAUCACUCGAACAUGAGGGAAAUCAAGGAAAUAAACUAAAAGUCCACCACAGGAGGCUCAGAUCAUUGCUGCCAACAAUUAGAAACCACUCAUUUGAGCUAACUUAGACAGAAAAUUACAAUAAACUGAAUCAGAAGACAAAAUAGACUAAUAUUCAUGCUUCCUACUCUGCAAAUUUAUUCAUUCUUUUUUUCACUUCACAUUUUGUAGAGUUACGAAGUUGUGUACCUAGAUAUGACCACACAAAAGGUAAAUUCAAGUAAGGCGUGUAGCAAAUGAUAAUCAGUAGCAGCGAACAACAAUUAGUAGCAAUUUCAAGUUAAUUCCAAACCCAGGAAAUUGUAUCAAGUAAACCAGGAGAUAAUUUCAGACAAGUAACACCAGUAAAUACACAAACCAAACUUGAAUGAACCAAAUUUAACUCGAAAAUAACCCAAGAACCUUUUAAACCUCAACUCCUGAGACACAAGGAUAAUUCAAACCAUUUUUUAUACCUUAGACAAACUGAAGAUUUAAUUUAAAACUUAGGGUUUCAAAAUCACCCUAAAAGUUCGAUGGAAUAGUGAUUUUCUCGAGUUUUGCUGCCUGAAGUUUUUCAGUAUAUUUUCAGUGCUUCACCUCUCUCCCCCAAAAAAAUCUCCCUCUAGCUCUAACUAACAAGACUUUAUAGGCAAGUUACUAGGGCUACACAGACCUUAAGUUUUUUAGCCUUUAGUCCUUUUAAUUUUCUUUAUUAGCUAGUUAGUACCUCAAUUACUGACUUGUUGGUCAAGUAAUACUACCAAGUUCCUGAAUUUCAAAUUAAAAUCCCAUCUAGAAGGUUCUAGUGAUUUUCAAUUUCAGUUACUGCAUUAUUCUCUAUUAGAUUCCCUAUACUACCCCUGAAUUAAUACUAAAAUUACUAACCUAUGUCAAACAAAUCCUUGCCCUUUUAAACUUGGUCAAAUGACCAUGGUUAAUCAAUCAAAGGCCGGAAACUAUUAAGCUAUAACAUAACAAAGUGUAAUUAUCAAAACUCCUAAAUCAAUCUACAAAAAUAUAUCUAACCUACUUAGAACUUGGAUUAAUUCUAAUCAACAAUGUGUCCUAAAGAUAAAUUUAUUAUUAAUACAGUGAACUAAUAAUUAAAAACUAAAAUAUAAAAUGGAUAUUGUACUGUGAAAAAUAGCGCAAUAAGAAAAACAAAAAAUGAAAUGUAAAAAAAAAUAGCAACAAACAUGGAAUCAUAUAAUUAAAAUCAAACAAACAAUCAAAGUGCUAACAAUGAAAACUAAAUUAAACUAUAUGGCUUUACAAUCAGAACGCUAAAUCAAAUCCCUAACUCGAACGCAAAAAGAAAAUAAUAAAUAAAAAGAAUUCUGAGUAAAAAUAGAAGAAUGAAAAAUAACAAUCAUGAAUGAAUGUAAAACAGAAAAGAUGGUGAAAUAAUGAAAUACCUCGAAAUUUCGACUUGGACUCGAACACUAGCAGGUGUUUUUGGACCUAAUCGGACUACAAUCAUCCCUAAUAAGGUGUUUUCAUAAGAAAACACAUGAUUAAGGAAAAUUAUAGUCAAUAAAUCAGUAUCCCCCCAAUUUGGAGAAACUAGGGUUCCAAGCCAAAUUUUAUCUAAGAUUCGAGCCAUGUGGGGAUGAUUCAAAGGCUAUGGGUUGUGGAUUCGGAAAGAGGGGGUGAUGAGGCCAUAUGAUGUUAAUUUGGUGAGGUUUGGAGGUUGUGCCACUGGACAAGGCGGAGCCGGCGGCCACGGUUUCGAAUAUUCGACCACUUUGGCUAUGAUUUUAAGGAAACUAGACUUCGAUUUGAAAAGGGGAGGCAAAGGAAAAGGUAUGGUGUAAUUUUGGUGUAAUUGGGAGACACACCGCCGGCGGAGGCUAUUUUCGGUCGGCAGCGGACGGCGGAAGAACGGUGGUUGUAGGGUUUCUAGUAAGAGGGGUCUGAGACGGUGAGGAUCGGGGGGUUCUUGGGGGGGGGGGGAUGUUGUUUUGACAGUAAUAUAUCAACCAUCCCUUAGUUCCUGAC
rnacentral:lncRNA from 1 species